rnacentral:piRNA from 1 species
UGGUAAACACGAUUUCCUCC